GACGAACGCUGGCGGCGUGCCUAAUACAUGCAAGUAGAACGCUGAAGAGAGGAGCUUGCUCUUCUUGGAUGAGUUGCGAACGGGUGAGUAACGCGUAGGUAACCUGCCUGGUAGCGGGGGAUAACUAUUGGAAACGAUAGCUAAUACCGCAUAAAAUUGAUUAUUGCAUGAUAAUUAAUUGAAAGAUGCAACUGCAUCACUACCAGAUGGACCUGCGUUGUAUUAGCUAGUUGGUGAGGUAACGGCUCACCAAGGCGACGAUACAUAGCCGACCUGAGAGGGGGACAGCCCCACCUGGACUGGAGACACGCCCCAGACUCCCCGGGGGGGCAGCAGAGGGGAAUCUGGGGCAAGGGGGGAAACCCUGACGGAGAACCGCGGGGGGAGGGAGGAGGGUUUUCGGAGCGAAAAGCUUUUUUGAAAGAGAAGAAGGGGUGGGGGGGGGAAAAGUCCACACGGUGAGGUUACCUAACAAAAAGGGGAGGCCAAACUACGUC
rnacentral:rRNA from 1 species